UAUUCUUUUCACGAGAUUGAUAAAGAAUAACAUAAAGUUUUACACAUAACAAAAACAAUCUUUUUAUCAAUUUCUUAAAUCAUGAAGUAUGCUAUUUCAGUUGUUCUUUUGUGCGUUCUCAUGUCUCACGUUUCGAACAUUGUCAAAGUGAAUAGCCUAGACCCUAUGUGUAAAUGGUAUCGUCGAGUUCCUGGAAAAUGCAGCCCUGAUGGAAACAAGAAGUGCCAUGUCGAAGUACAGCGACCACAAGAACAAGUAAAUCAACAAUUUGAGCGUUGCGAGUGUACAAACAAAAUUGUUGGGCAGAAAGACCAUCAUGACUGCAAUUGUUUUGUUAAGCCUCCUUGUCGUUAAACCUAAAGACAACAAGACUGCUUUUGUUAUACAAAACCUCUUUGUCCAUAAUACACUA